CCUUAUUCUAGGUUGAGUAAUUCGUCAUUCCUGCGUUCAACUCCCUUAUAAUCUAGAAGAAAAGAUCUAGACAUGAAUAACUGGAGUUCAGUCCUGCCUUUCUUAGGUCCCCAUCAAUAUAUCAGUGUCUUGAAGGAAUUAAUGACUUGGGAAAAUGCAGAGAAGGAAGAGCAGUUGAGGAUUGACCCAGCAAAAUUCCCCUCUAGAUUUUUCAGUGUGACUGAUGGCACACUCCCAGAACUUGAUUAGAUGUAAGAAAUUCAGGUCAGGCCAGUAGAGAGACCAGCAUCUUUGUGGUUAUGUCUUUGUCUGUAGUUAAUUCUCUUCUCCAUGAAGCUGGUCCCUUCCUUUUUGAAUCCCUCUCCCUGAAACCCGCAGCACAUAUUCUCACCUGUUCUUCCUCUUAAAUCUCCCCUGCUACCCUCCUCCAGACCGGUUACACAGAGCCUUGAAUCCUGCCAUCACCACUGCCCUCGUCAUCACCCGCCCGCAUCUUGAAGCAUCCUCCAGCUCUCUCUUGAUGAAAGUGUCUCCCCUCCACCUUCCAACGUUUGAACCUUCCCCAUCUUUACAGUGAAACAGGCCUUCUCUUGUCCCUGCUACAUGGAAAGUUGAAUAGUGGUGAGGCCUCAGACCCUUCCCAGGCAUCUCAGCACAUCUUCUAAGGAUCCUAAAUCUGUCCGCGCAAGGAAAUUUCUUUUUCAGUCCUCUGAAGUGGUACAAUCCAAAGGACAUCAUUUAUCUCCUUUGACAAGGCCCACUGAGCUCCAAUAUUCCAUGAACUCAAGAGCUGGCAAAGGGCAGCUGGGCCCAGCCCCAUUGUCCCUGGGUUCUUUUUUGCUGAGCUCUUUGUUCCAAGUUCCAUUCUGCUACCUAGGCUGGAAAUUCCACACAUGCUCAGCUCAAAGGAAUGCAGCUCACGCUGGCCAGAGCCCUUGCCAGGAAAUGGGGAGCAAACUUUUCAUUUGUGGCUUCUUGUCUUUUGUGGCUUCCUCCCUCACAUCUGUGAGGCAGACUAUGCCACUGCCUGAGCUAGUCCACCAACCUCUUCUAAUUGGGGAGCAACUACUCUCAGGUCACCUCUCUGGGAAGCCCCUGUUGCCUUCUUCAGGCAGCCUGGUUCCUGACCUUUAAAGAUCCAAAGAUCUUUCUUCUGGUAUGGUAUUUGAUGGCUUCCUGGUAUUUUCUUGAUUUGUUUGUUGUUUAACCAUACUCAUUCAUUCCCUUAUUCAUUUAUAUAAAACAUUUAUUUAAUGAGCACCUACUGUAUGCCAGGUCCUAUGAUGGGAGUCAAGGAUUACAAAGUCAGAUAUAGGCUCUACCCUCACAGAGCUUACUGUAUGGGGGUAAGCUGGUAGCCAGAAGCAGACACACAAGUAUACAUACGAUUAUAGCACACUCCAAAGCCGUGCAGCUAGGAAUGGUGUUGGGCAGACAGCCUACAUCACACAGGCGUUUGACUGAUGUUUGUAAUAUGUCAAAUGUCUCCAUUAGUCCCCAGUUUUCUACAUUAACAGAGGAAUGCACAAACCGUCAACUAUCUAAAAGUGUUCCUCAAAAUUGUUCCUCGUUGGCUUCAGAACACAUACUCUGUCACAUAUAACAAAGAAUUCGACCUUCUCUCUCAACCUCAAGUCCCUCCUUAGCUCAUCCCUGACAUUAAGGCCUUAGUUAGAGGAUGAAUGGACAGCAAGAGGAAUGAGGCCCCAGACCAGUGGCUACCCAAAAAAGCCUGUUUCCAGAAAGAGGUAAAGGGCUUCCAUUCAUGACGGCCAGCCCCCCCCCCCACCCCCGCCCCCAGGCACAAACACAUGCACCUACCACCAAGGCUUGCAAAAGGGAGUUGGAAUUGUUAAGCCCACCCCUAAUGGAUCUGGACUGCUGUUACCUGAACCACAUGAAGUUGCUUCUUUUUGUGUGUGUGAGGAAGAUUAGCCCUGAGCUAACAUCAGCUGCCAAUCCUCCUCUUUUUUUGCUGAGGAAGACUGGCCCUGAGCUAACAUCCAUGCCCAUCUUCCUCCACUUUGUAUGUGGGACGCCUACCACAGCAUGGCUUUUGCCAACCAGUGCCGUGUCCGCACCCGAGAUCUGAACCGGAGAACCCCAGGCCACCAAAGCGGAACACGCACACUUAACCGCUGCACCACUGGCUGGCCCUGAAGUUGCUUCUAUUUGACUGUUUUUGACUUACCAAAACAGCAGUUUCCUCAACCUAAUAUAUCUGAGAAUAAACAAAAAAGUUUUUUAAGUGAAUGAAGAGCUGGGGAACAACCAACCUCCCCAUCAAGGCGACCUCCCUAAUGGAAUCUCAGGGAGGCAGGGCUGGAAUGUGAUGCUAAUUGAAUGAUCUGCUCGGCAACCUAAUCAAGUACAUUGUUUGGAGAAUGCAUGAAACAACGAUUAGGGAUGAGGCUGGCGAAUAGAAAGAGGAAGGAAAAAGAAGCAGGGUAAAGCCAAGAGGCCCAAAGUUGACACUUACCCACCAGUGUCCAGGAGGAAAGCAACUCGAAAUUGGAGCUCACACAGAGGUGCCCUGCUGUGAGGCAGAGCUGACUGACUAAGUCCCACCCUGACUUGGAUGAAUUCUGCCUCCCUUAACUCCCGGGAUACACUCACCAACCAGCCCACUGAUGACUGAUUUGGCUCCUUGGGAUUGCUGAUAUUGGGAAAAGGAUACCCCAGUUGAGGGAGGAACAUUCCAAUUAUUGAAGAACCAACACUGUUAAUGAACACAUGGGUAUCUGGUUAUACACUUCAGCUUCUUACGAGUUGGAUUGAUGGGAGCCAGUCUCCUCUAAGCAGAUGAACUUCAGGACGUUGAUUUGGCUGUGAAACAGGUUCAGCUCUGUGGUAAAUUCAUCAAGGUGAAACUACCCCGGGUGGCCUCUUUGGGAGCCAGUCAGAUGACUCGGGCACAAAGCAAGACCUUCUGACUCAAUCAUUUCGAUCACAGAGUGCAGGGGAUAUAAUUAUGUUGGCAAGGCACGAUUAUCCUGUCCCUGACCCUGGCUCCACUCCUAAUCCCACUUCAUGACCCAACGAAUAGAUGUGAAAUUAUCCGGCAUUUUCUGCUUUUGACUCAGAGCCACCCCAGUGCUGGUUACCAGAUUAGCCCUGAGCUAACAUCUGCUGCCAAUCCUCCUCUUUUUGCUGAGGAAGACUGGCCCUGAGCUAACAUCUGUGCCCAUCUUCCUCUACAUUAUACAUGGGACGCCUGCCACAGCAUGGCUUGCCAAGUGGUGUCAUGUCCACACCCGGGAUCUGAACCUGUGAACCCCGGGCUGCCAAAGUAGAAUGUGUGAACUUAACCGCUGCACCACCGGGCCGGCCCCUAAAAAUCUCCUACUUAACCCUGGAAUACGACAUUUGGGUGAGAAUGGCCUGGCAUCCGGUCUCGCCUGACCAGCCUCAGCUGAAGCCGACUCUAGGUAUGCAGGUAGACUUUAAUAACCUUCUGAGGGCCCUGAGGGUUUCCCGUACUUUCAGUUCCAAUUCACUCCCACCACUGUCCCCAGAGUCCCCUGCCCAGGCUUGCUCCUUCCUGCACUUCACUGUGGGGUCAUUUCCCACACCCUGCCUACCAUGCCCCAUCUAGCUCUGCUCAGGAGACCCAUAGCACCACCAGCCCCUCUGAAGGUCUGGUGGACACUGGACUUGUUUUGAAAGAUAAUAUGAUAGGUUUAGUGUUUUAUAGGUUUGUUUAUUUUUAUCUACCUUCUCUCUUCCUCUAAAGGCUUAACUAGAAAGAAGGCAAUAGAAAAAAUACAGGUAGGAAAGGAAGAGGCAUGGAGAGAUGAGGCUAGCACAAAGAAUGCACAUCCAAGGGCUCUGGAAAGUUGCUUUUGGGGGUGGGGACAAGGCAAGUUAGGGACUGAGCUUCCUUGCAUUUUUCCCAGAUGAUGUCACAGGAAAUUUCUAUCUUGGCCACUCACGAUGAAGACGUCUCUGGGGCCGAGGUUAGAUGGCUUCCCCUGUCCUCACAGUGUUGUGAGUCUGAGCGGUACAAACAGUUAUAUCUGCUUGCACCUAGAAAGAGUCAUGCCACUGCGAAGCUCCCUCCGCUCCAGCGUGUCUUGUCUUUUCUCCUCUGGAUCUUUGCACCAGCUGUUUCCUCUCCCGAGAAUGUUCCGCCUUCUCCUGUCCACCUGCGGAAGUCAACCUGCUCUUCAGGGCCCAGAGGAAAAGCCAUCGCUUCUCCGCCUUCCCAGAUGCCCUGGUGGGAUUAAACUCUGCCUCCCCCAGUGCCUGUCUUUGUACCUCUCUUAAAGAGCUGAUCCAACCUGUGCUGGUCACCUUGGACUUGCCUCUAGCGGGCUGUAGGUCUUUGCGAGGGCAGACACCAAGGGAUUUUUU
rnacentral:lncRNA from 1 species